GACGAACGCUGGCGGCGUGCCUAAUACAUGCAAGUUGAGCGCUUAAGGAUGGUACUUGUACCAACUGGAUGAGCAGCGAACGGGUGAGUAACGCGUGGGUAAUAUGCCAUUGAGCCGGGGACAACAUUUGGAAACGAAUGCUAAUACCGCAUAAAAACUUUAAACACAAGUUUUAAGGUUGAAAGAUGCAAUUGCGUCACUCAAAGAUGAUCCCGCGUUGUAUUAGCUAGUUGGUGAGGUAAAGGCCCACCAAGGCGAUGGUACAUAGCCGACCUGAGAGGGUGAUCAGCCCCAAUGGGACUGAGGCACGGCCCAAACGCCUACGGGAGGCAGCAGGAGGGAAACGUCGGCAAUGGACGGAAGGCUGACCGAGCAAAGCCGGGGGAGUGAAGAAGGGUUUCGGAUCGGAAAACUCGGUUGGUAGAGAAGAACGUUGGGGAGGGUGGAACGCUCAUCAAGUGACGGUAACUACAGAGAAAGGGACGGCUAACUACGUG
rnacentral:rRNA from 1 species